AAAAAUUUAGUUAAACCAUAACAUCAGUUUGUCAAGCUGAAAUUAUUCUCAAGUAAUAGUUUUUA
rnacentral:tRNA from 1 species